rnacentral:rRNA from 1 species
AACCUGCCCUUGGGAGGGGAACAACAGCUGGAAACGGCUGCUAAUACCCCAUAGGCUGAGGAGCAAAAGGAGGAAUCCGCCCAAGGAGGGGCUCGCGUCUGAUUAGUUAGUUGGUGAGGCAAUGGCUUACCAAGGCGACGAUCAGUAGCUGGUCCGAGAGGAUGAUCAGCCACACUGGGACUGAGACACGGCCCAGACUCCUACGGGAGGCAGCAGUGGGGAAUUUUCCGCAAUGGGCGAAAGCCUGACGGAGCAAUGCCGCGUGAAGGCAGAAGGCCCACGGGUCAUGAACUUCUUUUCUCGG